rnacentral:lncRNA from 1 species
CGAAGAACCUGCUUAGAAGUUGACCUUCUCCUGCUAAACCUUUGCCCCCUCCCAGCGUGGCCAUCGCUGCGGGAUGGGGGCAUUGCUGAGCACCCCCAGGGAACAGCCCGGCCCGGCAUCGCUCCGUCCCAUUGCUGUAGCGCUGAAUCAAAGCCCUCUUACAGUAACCGCCUCUGAUUGAGAACAUCCGCUCACCAAAGGCUUUCAGUGCUCUGGUGGGGGAAGAAGAAGAGGAGAAAAACCCCCAAACCCGUCCAUACACAGUGCCCCUGCAGCUGCCCCACACACCGUGACCCCAUAGCUGUGGGGUUCUGGUGCUGUCGGUGUGUCUGGCAGAGGCUCUGCAGCUCCUUCCAAACAAAGAGGGAUCUCUGGGCCGCCCUCCAUCCACCACCUCCCCUCGGUGGAAGCCUGCCCACGUCUUUUUGUGCAAAUCCUUCCCUCUCGGAUGCUAUUUGAUGUCUUCAAAGGGGCUAUUCUUAUGUGGAGAAAAGAGGGCGAGCUCAGGUCUGACAAGGCUCUUCGCUCGCAGCGCAGCUAUUUUUUCACUCGGAAGAGUGCCAGUUUGGGAUUUCAAGACAAAAAAAGAAAUAAAUAAAAUACAUAUAUUCUCUUUUUCACA